rnacentral:rRNA from 1 species
CGUGUAGGCUGUUGGGUAAGUCUGGUGUGAAAUGCUACGGCUCAACCGUGGCACUGCGCUGGAAACUGCCUGACUGGAGUGCAGGAGGGGUCACUGGAAUCCCCGGUGUAACGGUGAAAUGUGUAGAUAUCGGGGGGAACACCUGUGGCGAAGGCGGGUGACUGGCCUGCAACUGACGCUGAGACGCGAAAGCGUGGGGAGCAAACA